rnacentral:rRNA from 1 species
UAACGGCCUACCAAGGCGAUGAUGCAUAGCCGAGUUGAGAGACUGAUCGGCCACAUUGGGACUGAGACACGGCCCAAACUCCUACGGGAGGCAGCAGUAGGGGAAUCUUCCACAAUGGACGCAAGUCUGAUGGAGCAAACGCCGCGUGAGUGAAGAAGGGUUUCGGCUCGUAAAGCUCUGUUGUUGGUGAAGAAGGACAGGGGGUAGUAACUGACCUUUGUUUGACGGUAAUCAAUUAGAAAAGUCACGGGGCUAACUACGUGCCAGCAGCCGCGGGUAAAU